CUCCCCGCCCCGCCCCGCCCCGCCGCACCGGCAGCCGCGACCCCGCCGCGGGCCGGGGGCGCCCCCGCGGGGCCGGGGCAGCGCGGUCACCCCGCGGGGCAGCAAGGCCCCUCCGCGGGCGCGUGGCCCCGGGGCUCGGGCCUGGCUCUUCUCAAAGACGCCCCCGGCCGUGUCUGGCGUGAGCGGAGCGGCUCGCGGCGGGCGUUGCGCCGCAGAGAGACAGGAAAACUAAGAAGUCUUGGAAAUGGCCAUGGAGCUCAUAUUUAACUUGCAAAAAGCCGUGUGCAGCCUUCCUGAGACAUUUCUUGGCUUGAAAACGGUGCCACAGCUGCAGCUGCAUGAAUCCAUGGCAACGGGAGGGCCGAGCAGCCCCGCUUCCCCGACCCCACGCCAGCAGAGUGGAGAUGAGCGUGUCCUUCAGCCCCCCAGUGCCCAGCGGGUGCCACACGCCGCUGGCAGGAUGCUGCCACUUGAAAGCCCUGGUGCUGGAGCCAGGCUUGUACUGUGAACCGAGCCACAAGCAUGUCAUAUACACCCAACAUGAGAAGAUUCUCUACCUAUAAAAUGGCCUGGAUAUAAUCUACUUCAGAAGACUGGUCACAGGCAUAAUCAAGUGAUGUCUGCAAAAUGCUUUCUGAUCCAUACAUUUUUUUUUCUUACAAGAUGAUUCUCUUCUGAAGUGAAGUUCCUGAAAACAGCUCACAGGUUCCUAUGCAGAGAACUCACCAGUUUGUCAUUAUUAUUUUCACCAGGCAGGGAGGAGAAUUAGCCUAAUUUUACAGUGUUCAGUGAGUCAAAAACACUUAGAGGUCACCUUUGGGUAUGGAAGCCUAAACAACAUGGUUCUGCCAGACCAAGGGGCUUAAAAACUAAGAAGAUUUUACAGACUUUGAUAUUAUUGCUUCUAUUUUCUGCUUCCUUUAGCAUCUUCUUGGAAGAUGGGAAUCCAGACUUUUUUUUACUUUUAUUAAAUCAAGAUCUUAAUCAGCAAGACAGAAGAAUGGGGCCACAUGUUGGCUGCCAGACAAUGUAGUAAGAUGUUUUCAGUGGCAGCAUAAUUUAUUUUAUUUUAAAUUACAGAGACAAAAAUAUCACAUUGA